UGGACAAGUGCUAUGAAGGACGUUCCUGGAGAGAUAACAUCAAAUGGCCCUGGCGUCAUCAUCAUUGCCAUCGUAUGACACAGGGCCAGCAGAAAGACACCAAGAGGACUAAAGUCCUGCACUUUUUGAAAGGUGCAAAAACUGAGGAGGAAAGACAGUGAGUAAUGUGCCCAGGUGAAGCAGGAACUGGGGCAGCUGUUGUUUGAAACCAGGCAUUGUGGCUCCAGAUGCUGCCUCUCUGAACUACCAAAGAAGUCCAUGAUCCCGCUUUACAGUUCCAGAGCAUUGUGCUUUUAUCCUCUGUGCUGUGGCGGGAGGAGCAGAAGAUCCCCAGCUGCUCCAGAGUCUUUGGCUGCAGACACUGAGAGAAAAGGGGCAAUGUGAACAUGUGAUCUGUCUGAGCUGAG